rnacentral:miRNA from 1 species
AACAACCCCAUCAACCGGAGGGAAUCUCUUCUGGUUGAUGGGGUUGUUAUCCCCCGUCAAGCAGAAGGGAUUCCAUCCGGUUGAUGAGAUUGUA